UUUUCUGUAGCUUAGUUGGUUAAAACGCCGGACUUGCUAUACGGAGUUGUGGGUUCGAAUCCCACCAAAACGA
rnacentral:tRNA from 1 species